rnacentral:lncRNA from 1 species
GAAGAUCAGAAAUUGGUUUCAAGUGCGAAUAACCAUGUCUACACAGAAACCAAGGAAGAGAGAAAGGGUGAGGGAGAGGAAAGGAGAGACACGAGAAUCGAAUAGUGAAAGAGUUUAUGCUCGAGAAUCAAGGCUAAUCCUAAUGGAAGAUUUCAUUUUGAUGUUUCCUAGAUAGUUUAACAUUUAACAUUUUGAUGUUCAUAGGCACCAUUUAACAUUUAAUUUCAAGACACAUUCAGAGUUGGUUUCUGUGUCAAGAGAGUUUCAAACUGGUUCCAUCUCUCUCCUCGUAAAAUUUUCUAUCACAUCACCAGAUUAGCCUAAAAGAAGUGAAAAAGCCACUCAUUUUUACUUUAUCUUCCAAAUGACAUGAAAACUACUUGAUGGAAAUAGAGCAAGGUAGUCUGUUGUUGCUAAAUACACAAUACAAGAUAGUCCGUUGUUGCUAAAUAAAAAAAAAUACAAGAUAGUCCGUUC